GGCUCCGGGCAUCACCGGCCGGGUUCGGGGCAUCACCAGCCGGGCUCGGGGCUCCGUGCCCGGGCUGCCAGCUCCCGGCAGCCGGGAGGACGCGGCCGGAGCAGAAAACAAAGAAUCCCAAAGUGGCAGCUGGCUGAGCCUUCCCUGCCCCUUGAUGAAGAAGACAAGGCAUUGCUGAGCUCAGAAGCCAGGAUAAAGCUGCUCUGUGCUGGGCACUGUGUGCCACACUCGUGUUCGUGUUCAGCGCUGCCUCCCCAUGCCCGCAGCAGCUGAGGGCAAAGCCGGCUCCUGGAUGACAGGACAGCCCUAAUUCUGCUUCUCCAGCAAUUCUGAGAGCUCCUCCCCAGCCCCAAUGAGGCCCAAGUUCAAGGAGGCUCCUGGAGCUGCACUUUUGGCCUCGGCAGAUUAUGAGAACUUUGCUGAGCUGAACUCCACCAGGGACACGGAGAGCGAGCAGCUGGAGGGGUCCCUGUCGUCCACCAUCGCCCUCAUCAUCGUGCUGGUCAUCAUCUUCUCCCUGGUGAUGACAUCUCUAAUCACCUACUGCUUCCACAAGUGGAAACUCAGAGGGAAAAGACUGCAGAAAGCACAAGAGGAGUAUCAGAGAGACCAAGAAAAGAGUAUUUGCCAAAGCACACCUGGACUCGUUUCAUAAAAGGAGAAAACCAGGAUCCACCACAAAGUACUCUUGAAUUACCUGAAAAUCACAAGAGAACUGCGAAUUUGAAAUUUCCAAGCAAAUACAUCUUUGUUUUAUCUCAUUUCUAAGAGUUGUUAGCAGUUCGGAGAUUUCCUACAGCUUUAUUAUACAUAUAUAUAUAUAUAUAUUUAUACAUUUAGUCUCAUUUGUGCCAAGUAAAACCAAUGCAAUGAUGUAUUUUUAAUCUCUUCUGCUGUUUUAAUCCUCGCUGGGCAAAUUGUGGCAGUGCCUGUGAGGGUGGGGAGGCCCUGGCACAGAUUCCCAGAGCAGCUGGGGCUGUCCCUGGAUCCCUGGAAGUGUCCAAGGCCAGGCUGGAGCAGCCUGGGACAGUGGGAGGUGUCCCUGCCCUGGCAGGGGUGGAACGGGAUGAGGUUUUAGGUCCAUUCCAACCCCAAUUUUCUGUGCAUUACUGAGCCAGUAAACCUCAACCUGUUGCUUUUGCUCUUUCAAAACCCCACUGGAAGGUGAAGAGGCAGAUUUGGGGUAUCCCAAAGCAGCCCAGCUGAUCCAGACCAGGGGAGUUGUGCUGCAGUGAUCCCAAAGGGGCUGGAGGAGUUGGAAUCCACUUGGACUCGGGAGGAAAGGAGCUCCCAGCUGGGGCUGCCAGGUCAUUCAUGCCCCCAGCAGCAGCUCAGGCUGACAUUCCAACCUUCCCUUCACACCAGCCUUGUGCUGAGAGGUGCUCGUGGCAUCCCACAAAGUGGAUUAAGGACAUCCAGUCCUAAUGGAACUCAAAUUCCCAAGGGAAGAGACAGCCUAAACCUCUUUUUUUUUAAUUAGGCAUCAAAUCCUUUCUAAACCACCCAUACCACGGUGUGUUUCAAUUUCCAUGUCACAGAGAAAUGACAGAUUUAUUGUGAGUAGCACAUCUAAGUAAUCUUUUCUAACCAAGUGAUGGAUGUAAUAUUAGUAAAUGUCAUUGUUUUAUAAAGUAGAAACCAUGUGAAGUUGCCACCAGCCCCCUGCUCAAGUCUACAGCUUGCUUGCAAUUACCAGUACUGCUGUAUGUAUUUUUAAACGAGCUAUAAUACUGUGAUGAUGCUGUAAACUUACCUCUGUAGGCAAAAAAAAAUGUUCUAUUUCAAAAUGUCAGGAUGAAGAAUGUAAAUGUUCUGAAAGUGCUAUCAACAACAACAACAAAAAAACAAACCCAAGAAUUUUCACAGAAUAUUCUAAAGGAUUCUGUUACAUGCUACAAAUCUAUUUUACAAGGGUAUUUAUGGCUCAUACAGCCUAGUCUGUGAGAACAGUACUAUUUUAUUACAGAAUAAAUAAAUGAAUAAAUAAGCAGUGAAUAUCCAUGCCCAGAAGCUGGAAAA